rnacentral:tRNA from 1 species
GGGGCCGUGGUCUAGCCUGGUAUGAUUCGCGGCUUGGGCCCGCGAGGUCGUGGGUUCAAAUCCCACCGGCCCCACCA